GAGACUACACGGUUUCUGGAAUGUGGUUUUAUUUUACAUCCCAUGGCAAAUUCAGCAAUUAGAGCUGUUAGCAGUGUCAAGGGCUUGAACCAGGAACACAGACGCCUCUUCCUGGUAACUCAGGCAGUGCCUCACUCCUUAUCAGGUGCUCGUCCUGCUGGCGAUUCCGAGUUUUUAUACACCAAAUGCCAAAGGAGGCUCCCUCCUGAGGGGGAGGAGAGGGAAAUAAUGGAAAAACAGAGUAUGCAUCUGGCAGGGGCUCCUGGAAUCGCAUGUGUUGCCUGUUUCAUUUUUUGUGUUGUCCCUGGAGUGAAUCAAAGUCUGCAGGCAGACCGCACCUCAGGCCGCGGUGGAACCACCUCCAGGCCAAAAGCAUCUGGACCCACAGACGCUUUGGAGGACAAUGGGGCCCAUUCAUUGGUGAGCCCUGGCCUCACCUCCCGAGAGGUGCUCCCCUGCCUACACCUUUGUGGAUGCGAGUUAGAGGUGAAGAGUUCGCAGGUGCUGCCUGAGGAGGUGGUUUUGAAGGUGGAAAGGGUCCAAGAUGGCAGAGAGGAGAGGAUUAGGUGGGAGACACCAGAUGGGAUGUGAAGGACGAGAGAGUUGGGCACUGGAUGGGGGUGGGAGGUCCCCUCGCUCCAUUGAGGAGCCCAGGGAAUCCUUGAACUCGGGAAUGAGACAGUGAAAACAA